ACAAUAACAACAAAACUAAUGUAAUUCCACAAGCGAGGUCAGGGGAGAGUAGUGUGUGCGAAAACCUUACCCCUACCUUGUGAAGGUAGAGAGGUUAUUUCCGUAGACCCUCGGCUCAAGGAAGAGUGAACAGAAAGCAACCAACAAUAACAACAGCAAGAAAAAACAAAGACACAACAUGUAAUAACAAAGUUCUAGAAAUAAGAUUAGACCAGAACCUUCAUGUCCAAUUAAGACUUAAGAGUAUCUUUUUUACUAGACUGGAAAAGGAUAAGGAUUUCGAUGAGAAAAAAUCUGAACCAUCCAACUCAAAAUUCUAUUAGAAAAAAGAGAAAUGCAAUAACAAACAACAUCAAGGAACAAAAAAAGUCAAUCACUUCCCACGCAUCAUUGCUGCCUGAAUAAUCUAUAAGACUUACACUACUUAUAUUUUUUUUUUUAAAGGAUUUUUCACUAACCUACUUUUUGAGAUAUUGGAUCACCAUAAAGUACCAGCAAUAUAAACUGCUUUACCAUGACAAAAAAGUUCCAUUUUGAAGAACAUAACUAUUGAACCAUACCAGUACUAGCCAGCUGGACUAUUUUAGUGAGCAACAAUUUGCAUCGAACACUGUUACCUCUUAAUCUCACCACAGUAUGUAAACUAUUAGAAAAACAAUUAUGACAGCAGUCUGCACCUUCUUGAGCAGUUUCAUUUUCAAGAAAAACUGGAAAAUGGUCAGCUAAAUGCCUUCAUCCAUUUCUUCUUCUAUACCACUCACCAGUUUUCCUACUUACUUCAAUCAUUUGUUAUAGGAUGAAUGAGUAGUUAGAAUGUAUUCAAAGACCAAAAAGUGCAGUCUCCUUUAAGAAUAUACCGUGGACCUAAAUUUGCAGUUAGGCUCCUUCAAGAAUAUUGCUAAGAUCUAAGUUUGCAGUUAGUUAAUGAUUACAAUUGUCAAGUUACAGGAAUUAUCUACUGAGAGAUUCCAAAGUGGAAAUAAUCUUGAGUCAGUACUCAGCAAAGAUUCAUCAGAAUCAGAUCCUAACAGUUCUAAAGAUACAGUGAGGGAUGGUGCAACUCAGACGAUAUUAGAUAUUAAGAAAAAACUUGUUCACCUCAAGAAGCAACUAAGAGAAAUUUAGAAGAGCAGUAAAACAUACUAGAAUUCACCUUUCUUCACCGCUACCAAAGUUCCAGUGGCACAAGCCUACUGAAGAUGCAGAAAGAACACUUCUAACACCGGCACCAACUGUAGGAUCAGCUGAAAGAGAGCACACAGUAUGAACAGGAUUGCCUGUCAACCCAGUCAUACAUUCCACUGGCCUCGCAGUUUGACGUCCAUCAAACUGCAAAACCAUACCAUUCUGCACGAGACAAAACAAAAAAUAUGAUGCAUUAUUCAGAGAAAAAGAAAGACCAGAAACACCAACUAUUUUUUCUGUUCGAUAAAUAACAAUAGUAUUGCCUGUACUUGAAAGAGAGACUAACUUGUGAAAACAAAUAAGUGCUCACUCAAUACCAACUUGCUUGUCACUUUGGAUUCAUUGUGGGCCAAUUUGGCUUCUCAGCGAAAUUAGGUAAGAAUAUGUUUUUUCUUGUUUUUAAUAAGUAUAUAUUUAAUCAUUUUUUGAACAUUAGAUUUUUAAAAACUACAUUAAAGUAAUAUAAGUUGUUAUUUUCCACUAUGUCAAACUAACGAGAGAAUAGAUUCAGAAUUAUUAGUCAAAGUUAUUUGUUUGACUCCUAACAAACGAAAAGUGGGACCAUUUUUUGAACAGACAAUGUGUUAGGACCUGUAAUCCGGCAUACAUGUAAUGCGAAUUGUUGGGAUCCCACGAACAUGACCAAGGAACAGUCUGCACAUUCCAAAUAGACAAACAAAAUGAAUCAAAUUAACUUGGCCAAGAGUAUCCAUUAGCAACAAACCUAUCCUAUAGAGAAAGGUCAAUAACAGUAACAAAUAUUGGGGAAAAAACUAUUAACAGUAACAAAAGGCUUAUUAUCAGGAAAGGAUAUUACUGAGAAUAGAAAAGUGGAAGAUGCAGCAAUUGAAUCUAAGCAAUCAUAGCAGCAGGACAUUCAGGAGCAUGCUAUAAAGGCCGUACUUUUUGUAGUUCAGGAGAUGCAUUUGUUACAUUGCAAAUCAGGUCACUAUUUCCCUUUAAAGUUUCAAACAUGGAAUUGUCUUUGAUGAUUGCAAGAAAUUCCUUCAAUUACUUGACAAGUUACCGAAAUUUAAAUCCAAGUUAAAGAAGCCUUGGACUUGACAAACUCAUGACCCAGCAACAGGACAUGGGCAAUUAUGAGAAAAAUUUACUAUUAUCCCAAGUGAGCUGCCCCCCCCCCCCCNNNNNNNNNNNNNNNNNNNNNNNNNNNNNNNNNNNNNNNNNNNNNNNNNNNNNNNNNNNNNNNNCCCAAGUGAGCUGCCCCCCCCCCCAACACCAACAAUUAGAUGACAGGGAAAAAUGCAGCCCCACCAUUCAGACAAACAUUCUGAAUCAGGUAGAAAGUAUAGAUUUUGAAAAAAUCGACAGGCGCAAGUAGUAUAGCCAACCACAAAGAAGAAAAAAUCAAGACAAAAGAACAGAAAGUUCAAGAGAAACAAGGCAUGCAAAUAUCAGAUAUAGGACAUAAUCUUCUGCCGAAAAAGAGUGAGAUUGAGGUCUAUGAAUUAGGAGGGUGGGGUAGAGCAAAAGCUAAUUGCUGUUUUACGAAAAUUUGCAUUUUGUCAACUCUCAAGUGGUCAAUCAAAACAAAAAAGUAACAGCUUUCACAAGAUGAGUAGGUGGUGUUAAAGAUCGUCUUCUGAUGCCAAUAGUGAAGAUCCAGUCAAAUCAAAUAGGUCGUUCUGUACAUUUAACUGUGAAAAUGAGGGACCUUAGCAGGCCUUACCAGUUAGUGUAAAGUGUGUACACAUUAAGUAAAGAAAAACUACUCCAUAAGAACUCUAAUCAACAAUCACUCAAGCAGAGAGUUUCACAUCCAAAGAGCUUAUCAACCAAAAAUAAUAAUAUGUUAUCCAACAACUGCACGAGCAAUCUUUACUUUACACAAACUUAAGAAUUGACGGCAAAAACACAACUAUAAAAGGCCUAGAGUUAUUACCGGUAAGUCGUAUGUCAGAACAGCAUGGUUGUUUUCAGCACUGCAAAAAGAAAGAGAUCAAAUAAAUAAGCUACCUACCAGGAGGGAAGCACAAAAUAGAAGCUGUUCUACAGCAAUUCUUUUGAUCAAGUGCAUUUAGCUGUAUGCAGCAAUUAUUUGGCAGAAAGUGGAUUAGGGAGGUUAUCGACCUAAGAACUGACAAUUUCUUCCCUAAGGAAGCCAAGAGUAUAACUCUUUCAUGAGGAGAAACAUGCAAGUCCUUGAUAGUUUUCAUGCUCGUAGGAAGCAGAAUGUCUUCUCGUUCAUGCGGAGGUAAUAGGCUGAUCUGCAAAAUGUAAAAGUAGAAAAAGUUGAAGCAUAUAUGCAGAACAAAAACCAUCAGAGAAUUCCAAUAAGGCAACCUAAGAAAUUUACUUUCGUAAGCAUAUGCUGUCCUCCCAUUCCAGCGAGCCUUCUAGCAAUCAUCAAAUUCUCACCGUUGCUAUCCACAUCAAAUAGGCGAGCACCAUCAAUCCGAAAUUCUUUCUGCAUUAAAGCUUAUUGCUAAAUCUCCAUAAUCGCGAGCACCAGACUCAAGGGUAGAAGCAUUGUGAUACUUUCAAAAUAUUUGAUGGCAGAGUCUCGUGCUGAUAACGUGUUAUAAAACAAUAAACGAACAAGAGCAAUAUUGCAGAAAAAGAGAGAGAAAAUUCUUAUUGAAUUUUGGGGUGAUUUACAAUGGGGUAAGACCCUCUAUUUAAGCAUAUGCUGUCCUCCCAUUCCAGCGAGCCUUCUAGCAAUCAUCAAAUUCUCACCGUUGCUAUCCACAUCAAAUAGGCGAGCACCAUCAAUCCGAAAUUCUUUCUACAAAUGUACAAAACAUAAUGUUACUAACUCAUUAAAACUUCAGUCAAUGGCGCUAAUUGGACGAACGUAUGCUGCGUUCAUUCCCAAUACAAAACAAGUAAGGAAAAAGAGGUAAGAGAGAAAAGAAUAGAAAUCAUAUCUUGGAACAAGAAGAAGGAAGGGAACUGACCAUCCAUACUACUUUCUCUCGCCUACAGACUAUUGAUGAUGUGAGGUAAGUGUUAACCAAAAGGUGAGCAUAUUUCCAGUGCAUCUUUAUACACAAGUUGCAAUAAAUGUGGAACAACAACGGAUAAAGGACUAAUGAUUACUCUGUUGAUACUAUCAGGUAAACAAGUUGCAACAGAUGUGGAGCAACAAUGGAUAAAGGAGUAAUGAUUUCUGAGUUGAUACUAUCGUCUAUCAGUAACCAAACGUGUACAAAAAAUUCCUAUAGCUCAAUUUUCACAUUUGACAAAAGUAUGGGAGAUGGCAAACCUGUAUAACAAAAGCAUUCGCAUAUUCACGUCUUCCCAAUUUGGAGUCAAUAUUGCGUCCUUCACGACAUGGAUAGGUACUGGAACUUCAGUGUGAAACGAUGAUAGAACAUAGCCAAUAGGAUCAAUAUCCCUAAGUAAAGAUUUCUCAAGGACUGCUUACCAAAAAUGUGUCCAGAUGACCUGCUCUGCGUCUCGCUUUGCGAGCCCUCUACACAAGUUAUUCUCUAUGAAGAGCAGAUAUGCAGCAAGUAAUAUGUCGCUUUAGUAAACAAAUGUUAACAGAGAUACCUAUACCACUACUGAUUGCACCGAAACUUGUUAUCCAAAUUUUCUCAAGCCAAAGAAAUGGCAGAAUAAAUCAAAAACACAAAGAAGAAAGGGCUAAACUAAACUAAGAAAGGGGAUAUACACAAUUAAGAAUAUUUCUUAAAAAGCCCAAACAAGUACCUGCCUUAUAGCAUUGAAAGAUGUCAUAUUCUGAAGAAUGUUAAAAGGGAAUGCUGGCAGGAAAAAGAGGGCCACAAUAUGUACUAAAGAAAGUGCACCAAAGUCAAUCUGUAUUCCAGGAAGAGUGUGCAAAUAAUUUAACAAUGGGUAAAGACUAAAGAGAAUAUAACGUUGGAGUUUCCAAAUAAGGGAAAAGCAAUAACGAGUAAACACGCAUGAAGUAGAGUUGAUCAGCUUGUUUUGCAAAUCCUAGGAGAAAGUUUGAACAAAAUUUUACAAUGGAUGUUUUGGUAGUAAACAAAUCACUUAAAAAGACAACCAAGACAAAGGAAAAGGUGAUUCUGGAAACAAUUUAAUCUGAUACUCCCCUCCCCCAUCUCCCCGCCACUAAAGAAAAGCCCCCCUACACUUCCAACCAAACAAAAAAGAUGCAUUGAAGAAGGGAGGUGUGAAGAAGCUGCACAUAACACAAAUAGCACACAAAGUGACACAUACCUCUUUGAGGUGCUUCAGUUGCUUAUGCAACUCAGCUUCUCUCCUCCUCCACUCAACUUCUUUCUUACACCAAUCACUGCACUGCGCAAAUUGAAUAUCGUCUUAUAAUCACCAUGAGACAUGUGAAGAAAAAUGUAAUUUAGAAUCUCCAGAGGGGGGACAAAAUUGUUUUCAAAAGUCAGUUAAAGCUGAAGUGUCAUUGUUGUGGCUAACCCACGGUUAUUUUGAUUCCUGGUGAAGCAUAAGCUGCCAGGUGACUUGAAUGCCCUUACAUAGAACAAUGAAGCUAGCUGUUAAAAGCAAAAAAUUCCGAUUUACAUAGUGAAGAAGGUACAAGGGAGAGGAGGCAACAAAGGUGCCUUCCCUUUAGGCAAAAGCUUCAACAUUAUGAGGGAAGAAAUUAUGUUUAUCUUACUCAUUUAUGUCUAUUUUUAGACGAUUAAACUCUUCACUGAUACUCAUCUUUAUCCUAGUGUGCCAACUCAAGAAAUGAGAGAAUCAUCCUUACCUAUAACAAUUGAUAAGAGGUUUCUAUACAAAACAUACAUUGAGUUUUUAAAUCGUGAGCAAUUUGGUCCAUUUGAAAACUAGUCAUCUUCAACUACACUGUUCCCUUCUAAAUUUGAGUAAAUGAAAAGCCUAGCCUAAGAUAUAAAAAGAUAACCAUCAUCAAAUCGUCAUGUUGUUUCUUUUCUUUUUCUAACAUAAGGUUUUAUCAAGCUUUCACUUUUUCGAUCGAUCUCGCCGACAGAUGAUCGAAUGCCUUAGUUGGUCAGUCCUGUGCAUGGAAAAGCUUGAAAGUCUCUACUGUGAAUCUUCAUUUAUAGUUUAGACCUGAGAUGUAUCAGGAGAUAGCAGUUACAAAAUCAAAAACCCUUCUUCUUCUUUUCUCUUACCUCUUUUUCAAGAGAAAAACAUCUAGAUUCAAGAGACCGUAUUUUCUGCAAAAGAGGAAGGAAUUGGGUCACUAUCUCAUGGAGCAAACUUCAAAUUAUAAGCAUCAAAUGAAGACCUUUUGAAGCUCUUCAUCAACAGCAUGAAGACGAGAAGCAUAAAGCACUCGGACACCCUUCAAUGUGCAUUUCUUAUUACAUUGAGGGCACUACAAACAAAAACAAAAGAAAGAAUGUGAGGGGCCAACUGAAAAACGGAUGUCAAAAUACUGCAUAAAACAAGAACCAAAUUAUUAUGAGAAAUACCUUUCCUAAACUUCCUUUUUGUUGCAACCACUUCUUGAUACAUGACAAACCAUAUAUAUGCCCACAAGGAAGGCAGCUGCAAAAGGUUAAAAGGUGGAAGAUAAUGGAAGUAUUAACACUUGAAAACUGUAUUUUCAGUUGUCAAUUAUAUAUCAAGCAAUCAACUAAACCUCAACUCCAACUGGUUUGUCGACUAUAUGAAUUAUCCAUAUACAUUCCAAUUUAUUUGGGUCAAUGUCAUUCCAUUAUUAAAGAAGUUGUGUUUAAAAUCAGGGGUUUUCCAAAACUAGAGAUUUCUAAAUACCAUUUUUAUCCCUACAGUCACAUGUAAGUCUCUAAGCAUAACUCCAAUAAGUUAAUAUUGUCGAUACGAGUCUUUUACUUGCAUUAUAUUACAUUCUUAGCUAGGUCCGCAUUGAUUCAAUAGUUUAAAGGACUUUAAUGACAACUGUUUUCCAUGUGAUUUUAGUUCUUUAUCUCCUUCUAACACCUUAAAUCAUCAUAUCUGUACACCAACUAACUGAUGCAUUUGGAUGGCUAAAUAGAACAUCCACAAACAAUAUCAAACAACCUUCCAUCAUUUCAUCCUCUAUGUGUAUUACACUAUCUGUCGGAUGUGAUAUGUGAUCAUUCGGCAGUCACUUAUUCAAAAGAACAGAAAAUUCAAGUGCUUUAAUUGGGAAGGUGAAGAUAGUUAUUCAGUUUCAUGUGUUACAGCCAUAUAGUAUUUCUUAGAAUUUACAUCAAUGUUAGUAUAAUCAGGCCAACUGAAACAGACUCCUAUUAUCUAUAACACAACCCACAGGCCAUCUAAAUUUGGUAUCCAUUGUUUUCAUCUUCAAGGAAAACAAAAUAGAAGUCCUCUGCAGCAUCUCAAUGGUUCUUUUCAAGUUAUAUCAUUCUACUUAAAUUGUCAAAAUAGAAGCUGCUUCUAAAAAACUUAUUCCUCUUUACAUGUUGAACUAAGCGUAAUUUUUUUUAUCAAAAGGUAAAAGUUUAAACGAGACUAAGAAGAUCUUGACAAAAAAAACAGAAUGGAAACAGAGAUCAGUACAGCAGAAAUAACAUUUUAUUGUCCUAUAUCAUUCCCCCAAGGCUUCACCUUGCCUGUUUCACAAUUGAAUAUAGAUGAUUAUUUUCUUCUUUUUCUUUUUGAUAAGGUUUCUGCCUGACCUACUUUCUGGCUAGCUUCUUUAUGGCAAGCGCUAUGGACCAUGCGGGAGCGCCCCUUGUCUCCCACUCAAGCGAAUAUAGAUAACUUUAACAUUCGUAGGCAUAACACGUUCAGUUACAUAAAGCCGAAACUUAACAUUAUUAAUGAUAAACAAUCAACACGAACCAACUUUUUUCAAAAUUGAAACGGGUCCAGUGGAGGGGAAUGGAUUAUAUGGAUUCAUAUAGUUGAUGUUGCUCGGACUCUCCAAAAGUGAUGCCGCACCCAUAUCGAAUACUCCAAAAAUGCACUAAAUUUGGAGGAUCCGACAUGCAUCCAGCAUUAAUGAAAAUCCAAGUAAUAUAGGUUGAUCCAACAAGUUAUUGAACAUAGUUUGUUGUUGAGGUUGUAUGCUAUAGACGCCACCACAAUCAAAAAGGACUUAAGUGAUAUGCACUCACAGUGUAAUGAGUGCAGAUUAACUUGAGGUUAAUUACCAUUUAUUACAACAAAUGCAUACUAAGUGUAAUCCCGUAAGUGGGAUCUAGGGCGGGUAGCGUGUGCACGGGCCUUACCCCUACUUUGUGCAAGUAGAGAGGUUGUUUCUGAUAGACCUCAGCUCAAGCCUCAAGGAAUGCAAAUUCACAACAAUUUUGAAAAAGAAAUCUGGUAGUUAUAAAAGGAAGCAAUAACAAUAGCAAGAUAAUAAGAUAACUAAACCAAAAGCAACAAGUAGUAGAAAUCUAAGAAUAAGGAUGUUCUAGCAACAACAACAACAAAAAACUCAAUAUAAUCCCACAGGUGGGUUCUAAGGAGGGUAGUGUGUACACAGACUUUACCAUACUUGGUGAAGGUAGAAAAGAAUAAGCAAGUACUAGAAUGAUACUAACACUACUUGUAUGGAAAGAAUAUACGGUAGACUACCUACUAACUUUCUGCCUUAACACUCGACCUCUACACCCUUCUAUAAAGGGUCAUGUCCUCGGUAAGCAUAAGAAUCAUGUCCUGCCUAAUCACAUCUCCCCAGUACUUCUCCGACCUACCUCUACCUCUACCUCUACCUCUACCUCUACUUAGAUCCACCACUGUCAAUCGCUCACUGGACAUCUGUGAAUAUCCUAUUCACAUGCCCGAACCAUUAUCACCAUUUAUUUUAGGUUAAUAAUCAACGCUAUUAAAUAGGUUACUUACUUGAUUGUGUAAAUACAUCACCACAAUCAAAAAGGACUUAAGUUAUAUGCACUCACUGUGUAGUGCGUGUAAAUUAACAUGAGGUUAAUUACCAUUUAUUUUAGGUUACUAAUCGAUGUUAUUAAAUAGGUUACUUUGUGUAAAUGCAUCCCCACAAUAGAAACGAUUGUUAAAUUAUAUGCACUGACAGUGUAACGAGUGUAGAUAUCUUGAGGUUAAUUGCAUAGAACUUGAAACUCAAUAAUAGUAGAUGGAAGGACAAAGAAGUAAAUUACCAGAUUUGGUGGUCGCCGUCGUUGGUCCAAGCUUCCAUGCAAAUCGGGCAAAACAAACCUUCAAUCUCACUCCGAUUCCACUCCCCUUCUACUUCACCUCCAUCGCCUUCUUCCUUAUCAACAUCUUGCGACGCCUUUCCCCCGCUUUUGGUCCUCCUCGUAACAUCGUCACUUUCCAUAGCGGAAUUAUGAAAAUUCUCAGCAUUAAUCGCCUGCUGUUGAGAUGAAAUUGUUGCAGCACUAUGAUUCCCGUACAAAACCGUACGCAAUGUCGUCCUUCCAGCACUCGACUCUUCAUUGCCAACUUCUUCAUCCUCUUCUUCUUCUUCGUCUUCUCCUUCUUCCUCUUCUUCUUCGGUCUCUUCUUCCUCUUCUUCUUCCUCAUACUCUGCAUCAUCUUCUAAAAAACCGACGUCCUCUGCCAGUUCAACAUCGUCACCCUCGUCGCCACCGACGGCGAUUAGGUGGAGGAAUCUCUCGUAAUCCGGGUCGGAAUCAUCGGCCAUUGCUAUAAUUGGAUUAUUACGCGCCUUAGGUCACAGCAUUCGGCACUCAAUUUUUCAGAGCAAAUUUUUGGGCAAAAGUGCGUUUGGCGCUGAAAAAAAUAGGAGGGAAGUGAAAGUGUGAAACUCGAGACGCUCUCUUGUUGUACUAAUAGAGGACAAAAAUAUACAAAAAGAAAAAGAAAUUAGGGAAAGCCACUUUAAGGUAGAGGGGAGAAUAUUUGGUUUUGAGUAAUAAAUUUAAUUUAAUACAUAUGAUUACACAUUAAUUCAAUUUAAAGAAAUCAGUUUUGUAUUUCUUAAGGCAGCAGUAGAGAUUUUCUGGGCAUUUAAAUUUAAAUUUAGUGAAUAUGAGAAGAAAGAAGGGGUGAAUAAAAAAAGAGAUGAAUGAUGGGGAAAAUACAGAUAAAAUGAAAAGAAGAAAAAUCGAAAUACUUAUUUUAAAUAUUUGAAAUAAUAUUUUCAGAUUAAUAUUUGGUUUACAAUUUGAUCUAUUAUUUCAACUACAACUUCAAUUUUUAAGCUUUCCUUUUAGCAUCAAUGGAAUACCAUCCAAAACUCGUACUGGUUUGUGAAUAAAAUUAUCAACAACAAUUUGGUAUAAUCUUACUUAGUGGGAUAUGAAGAGGGACUUAGUAUGGUCUGGGGAAGUUAGUGACGAGGUUAGGACACAACAAUCAUAUAAACAUAUGUAGUUAAAUCAUAUACAAAUCGAAUUAUAAUAACAAGAAUCAACAGAAUAAGGUGGGAAUGGGACAUGCCGCUAGGAAUAUCAGAUUCUAUCAAUAAACAAAUAAAUAAGCAUCAAUAAAUGAGAAAAAUAAAUGUCGCUUCUAUAUCAGCAAGAAUAAUGAAACGGUAAUAUGUGCACAGCAUCAUCCUUCGUGCUUUUACUUUCUUCAUCGCCAUGUGAAUCAAUAGAAACGGCAGUGCAUUACCCUUCGUGCAUUACCUCACAUAUUCAUGCACGGCAUUGCCCUUUCGUACAUUACACUCACUCACAAUAUCAUGCAUGGCAUCACCCUUCGUGCUUUACACUCUUUCUCGCCCAAACAAUACAUCCCGGUAAGGGAAUUAACAAUAUCAACCAUAACAUCCCGGCAAGAGAAUCAACAUUCUCAACAAUGAUAUCCCGACAGUGGAUUUAGCUAUAACCAAUCUCAUUUUCAACGAUCACUUUACAAAAAUAAAACUCCACUUGAGCCAAUACUCAACAAUAGUCAAUACCAAUAAAUAUUUCAUAAGCCUUGUUCAACAUUUAUAAUCAUCAAUUUGAGCAUGAUCGAUACAUAAUAGAGUCACAACAAUCAUGGUAUAAGACUCACUGGCAUGCUUGACACCAACGUAUAGAUACUCGUCACCACACCUAUACGUCAUACUCGUUACUAACACAUUUCAAAUAAGACCACAACUCAUAUUUCCUCAAGCUAAGGUUAGGCCAAAUACUUACCUCGAUUCCAUGAACAAGAUUAAGCCUCAACUACCGUUUUACCUCUCGGUUCCACUUACAAUUCACUUGUAUAUAGUCAUAAUUUACUUAAUAACGUUAAUAAAUGCUAAAUAAAUCAGUUCUAAUGCAUGAAAAUAGAUUUUCCAUUAUUUUUCCCAAAAAGUCAAAAAUCAACCUCGGACCGGUUGGUCAAAACCCGAAGUUCAAACCAAAACCCGAUCACCCAUUCGCUCACGAACUCAAAUAUGUAAUUAGUUUUUAAAUCGGAGCUCAAAUUAAGGUCUAAUUCCCCAAAAUUUGAAAAUUCUAACUUCUACCCAAAACUCUCAAUUUCCCAUGAAAAUACUAUAUUUUGAAGUGAAAUCAUAUAAAAAGAUGUUAUAUAUUGAAGAAAAUAAGUUAAAAAAUAGUUUACCUAUGAUUUAGGGAAGAACUAUAUUCAAUAAAAUUGCCUAUAGGAGUUUAGGGUUUGAAAAGUUGUAAAAUAAAGCAGAAUUAUGUCGAAAUCCCACUUAAGAGGUCUCAAAUGUCACAAUUGCGAUUAGGAGUUCGCAACUGCGAACCUUUUGAAAUCCCGUCAUCUUCGCAUUUGCAAAGAAAUAGUCAUAGUUGCGACAAAUGGAGUUCACAUUUCCUAGUCUUGAGGUCGUAAUUGCGACGAGGGCCUACCCAGGCUUGGUUCACAAAUGCGCAAUUGUGACACUUUGGUCGAAUUUCCCAAGCCUUGCCACUUUGCAAAUGUGAAGCCUGAUCUCGCAAUUGCGAGAUUAGAGGCCUGCGCAAAAAUACCAGAUGCCGGCUGCAAUUUUCCUAAUCCAAUUCACUCUGUAGCCUAUCCAAAACUCAUCCGAGUCCCUCGGCUCCAAACCAAACAUGCACGCAAGUCUAAAAAUAUCAUACAAACUUGUUUGUGCGAUCAAAUUAUCAAAAUAACACUAACAACUACGAAUUUAAUCUCAAAUCCAUGAAAUUCCUCAAGAACAUUGAAAUUUCUAUUUUCUCAACUAAAGGCCCGAUUUAUACCAAAUCAACUCUGACUCUUACCAAACAUCACAUAUUUGACUUAAUUAUUAUUUUAAACAUGUACCGGGUUCCGGAACCAACAUACGAGCCUGAUACCAUAAAAACACACAUCACUUCAUUUUUUAAAAAUAUUUAUAUUUUCAGCAAAUAAUUUUGUUUACAAAUUCUUUUCUCGGGCUAGGGACCUCGAAUUCUAUUCCGGGCAUAUGCCCAAGUCCUAUAUUUUACUACAGAUCCUACAUAACCGUCAAACCACGGGUUCGGGUCCGUUUACUACGAAUGUUGACCAAAGUUAACUUUAAUCAAUUUUAAAGGCCAAAAUUCAUCUUUUUCUUAAAUUUCACAUAAAAGCUUCCCGGAAAUGCGUUCGGACUGCGCGCGCAAAUUGAGGUGAGACUAAAAGAGAUUUUCAAGGCCUCAUAAUACAAUUUUGACUUCUAAACAAGAGACGAACUUUAGGAUCAUCAUAUUCUCCACUUCUAAAACAAACAUUUAUCCUCAAACGGACAUAUAAAAAGUAUCCGAGUCGGUGAAAAGAGGAGGAUAACAGCUCCGCAAAUCAGAAUCAGAUUCCCAGGUUGCUGGAUCAAUAGGCUGACCUCUCCACUGCACACGAACUAAAUGAAAAUUCUUUGAUCUCAACUGACGAACUUGUCGGUCUAAAAUAACUACCGGCUCCUCCUCAUACGUCAAGUCUUUGUCCAACUGGACAGUGCUGAAGUCAAACACGUGGGAUGGAUAGUCGUGAUACUUGAAACACUGUAUGCACUGUUGAUAAAUUCAGUGGCAACGUAAGUAUAUAAGUCACCUCUCCCACUCGAUCGGGAAUCUCAAAAUGACCGAUGAACAAUCAUGGUAUAAGACUCAAAUAAAACUCCACUUGAGCCAAUACUCAACAAUAGUCAAUACCAAUAAAUAUUUCAUAAGCCUUGUUCAACAUUUAUAAUCAUCAAUUUGAGCAUGAUCGAUACAUAAUAGAGUCACAACAAUCAUGGUAUAAGACUCACUGGCAUGCUUGACACCAACGUAUAGAUACUCGUCACCACACCUAUACGUCAUACUCGUUACUAACACAUUUCAAAUAAGACCACAACUCAUAUUUCCUCAAGCUAAGGUUAGGCCAAAUACUUACCUCGAUUCCAUGAACAAGAUUAAGCCUCAACUACCGUUUUACCUCUCGGUUCCACUUACAAUUCACUUGUAUAUAGUCAUAAUUUACUUAAUAACGUUAAUAAAUGCUAAAUAAAUCAGUUCUAAUGCAUGAAAAUAGAUUUUCCAUUAUUUUUCCCAAAAAGUCAAAAAUCAACCUCGGACCGGUUGGUCAAAACCCGAAGUUCAAACCAAAACCCGAUCACCCAUUCGCUCACGAACUCAAAUAUGUAAUUAGUUUUUAAAUCGGAGCUCAAAUUAAGGUCUCUCACUCCCCGGCCAUGAAUGACACACUGUGAACCUUACAGUCGGCGUGACUCUUUUGCCUAGAUUGAGUUGUACGAAGCCUAUCCUGAAUGAUCUUAACCUUAUCUAGGGUAUCUUGUACUGGAUUUGUACACAAUAACCAAGCCUCUCCCGGCUCAAACCAUCCAACCAACGACCGACACCGCCUACCAUAUAAUGCCUCAUAGGGAGCCAUCUGGAUACUCGAUUGGUAGUUGUUGUUGUAGGUAAACUCUGCCAUGGCAAGAACUGAUCCCAUGAACCUCCAAAGUCAAUAACACAUGCUCGGAGCAUAUACUCUAAAGUCUGAAUUGUAUGCUCAGACUGUCCGUCCGUUUGAGUAUGAAAUGUUGUGCUCAACUCGACCUGAGUACCCAACUCAUGCUGAAUUUCCCUCCAGAAAUGCGAUGUAAACUACGUACCUUGAUCAUAAAUGAUAGACACAGACAUACCAUGAAGACGAACAAUCUCCCGAAUAUAAAUCUCCGCCAACCACUUAGAAGAAUAGGAAUCUGCCAUAGGAAUGAAAUGCACUGAUUUGUCAGCCUAUCCACAAUAAGCCACACUGCGUCGAACUUCCUCUGAGUCCGUGAAAGUCUAACAACAAAGUCAAUAGUGAUAUUCUCCCACUUCCACUUGGGAAUCUUAAUCUUCUGUAACAAACUGGAGGGUUUCUCAUGCUCGUACUUUACAUGCUGACAAUUCAAACACCAAGCUAUAUACGCAAUAAUAUCCUUCUUCAUCUUCCUCUACCAAUAAUGAUAUCGCAAGUCCUGAUACAUCUUAGCGGUGCCUGGAUGAAUGGAAUACCGGGAACUAUGGGCCUCAUCUAGAAUCAACUCACGAAGUCCAUCCACAUUAGGCACACAAAUAUGACCAUGCAUCUUUAAACCCCCAUCAUCUCAAACUGUAACCGGCUUGGCGCCUACGUGUCGCACUGUGUUUAAGGAUAAGCAAAUGCGGAUCAUCUUACUGCCAAUCUCGGAUAUGUUCAAAUAAUGAAGAACGAGCAACUGUGCAAGCUAACACACUGUUGGGCUCAGAAACAUCCAACCGUACGAACCAAUUAGCUAAAACAUGAACAUCCAAAGCAAGCGGUCUCUCACCGACUAGAAUAUAUGUAAGGCUGCCCAUACCGACUGACUUCCUACUCAAAGGAUCGGCCACUACAUUGGCCUUCCCUGAGUGAUACAAGAUGGUGACACCAUAGUCUUUCAAAAGCUCCAACCACCUCAUAUGUCUCAAAUUUAGCUGCUUCUGCUUGAACAAGUAUUGCAAGCUCUUGUGAUUCGUGAACACCUCACAUGACACGCCAUAUAUAUAAUGCCUCCAAAUAUUCAGCGCGUGAACAAUGGUUGCUAGCUCCAAAUCAUGAACUAUAGCAAAGCAUAUGCAAUAACCUUUCAUUAUGCAUCAACACCGCACCAAGUGAAAUAAGAGAUGCAUCACAAUUCACUAUAUAUGGCCCUAAACCUGUAGGUAAUACCAACACUGGCACCGUAGUCAAAACUUUCUUGAGCUUCAGAAAGCUCGCCUCACACUCGUCCGACCACCUAACUGGGCACCCUUCUAGGUCAGCCGGGUCGUCGGGGCUGCAAUAGAUGAAACCCCAUCCACAAGUCGAUGGUAAUAGCCCGCCAAACCUAAGAAACUCCGGAUCUUGGUAGCUGAUGUAGGUCUAGGCCAGUUCUUGACUGCCUUAAUCUUUUUAGGGUCCACCUGAAUACCCUCCGUUGAUACAACGUGGCCCAAUAAUGCAACUAAACUCAACCAAAACUCACAUUUCGAAACCUUAACGUAUAACUGACUGUCCCUCAGAGUCUAGAGAAUGACCCGAAGAUGUUGCUCAUGCUUCUCAUGGCUGCGAGAAUAGAUCAAAAUAUCAUUAGUGAAGACAAUCAUGAAAGAAUCCAAGUAAGGCUUGAACACUUGGUUCAUCAAAUUCAUGAAAGCUUCUAGGCGUUUGUCAACCCAAAUGACAUUACUAAUAACUCAUAACGCCUGUACCGAGUGCAAAAAGCUAUCCUAGGGACAUUGAAUGCCCUAACCCUCAAAUGAUAGUAGCCAGAUGUCAAAUCAUUCUUCGAAAACACUUUGGCACCCUAAAGAUGAUCAAACAAAUCAUCAAUUAUAUGGAUACUUAUUCUUGAAUGUGACCUUGUUCAACUGCCGAUAGUCCAUGCAUAUUCUCAUUCAUCCAUCAUUCUUCUUAACAAACAACACCGGCACACCCCAAGGCGAGACACUAUCACGCCCUGUUUUUCCUUCAUAUGGAGGCCAAGAUUUCGACAUUCAUGAGGAAACAACUCAUUUUCUUUUGGGAAUUGAGUGUUUGAAGAGUCGCCACCUAACAUAUUAAGAUGCGUUAGGGCACCUAGAGCAGUUAAAUCAUGUAACCAGUUUGCAUUUCCAGAGAUUAUGGUAAGUGCUCGAAAAACCCUUAAGGGAAAGGUGUUAGGCACCCCUCGCGGUCCACAAUGGUGGGUCCCGACCGAACUUAGACUAUGUGAAUUAUUCAAUUAACAAGUAAGAAGCCUCAAUAUAUAUUUGCAAAUAAAUGUAGUUUACACUGUCUAAAUACAUAUAUUAUCAAGGAGAUUUAGACAUUUUAAACACAUAUAUGAAAAGAAAAGAAGUUUAGAUAGUUUAAAACAUAUGAAUUGGGGGUAGUCCUAAGUUGAUUAGCUUAUAUGAUCAAUCUGUGAAAUGCCCAAUAAUCCUCCGUGACUAGAGAGGCUACACAGGACAUUAGCAUGCAGGUCAUCAUAUCCUUUGACUAUCCAUUACCCUUCCCUUAAUGGUUAUAUAAGCAAAUUUGAUUAACGACCUUUAAGCGUACUAUUACUCGUCCCUUCCUUGUGGUCCCGAAGGAGUUUAGGACCUCUAAACUUAGGCAGUUGUAAACAAUCCUAAGGUAUUUAAAAGGGAAAAGUCUAGGCGACAACAAAUAGCACAUACGACUGUCAAUUAAGGAAAUAGAUAAAAAGGCUCAUGUUUACCUCCACAUAUGCAUAGACAAAUAAGCAGCACAUCUCAAACAACUGAUUUUAAAUAAAUUCAAAAAGCCUGGGAACAUGAUAUCUAGAUGAACAUUACAUAAUAGAACAUGCAAUGUUUGUUUUAAGGGGAAGUGGCAGAAUCCUAACCAUUUUGCUUACUAAUUAUAGCCUGUUAAGCCUGGAUAAUUUCAUAUAUGACCAUAACCUGAUUUUGUAGUUAUCUAACGGCCUAAGGAUUGCCUAGGCGUGUAUAUGCAGUCAUGAUCUAGGAACCACUUAAACAAUUUGAUGUUCUUUUAUCCUAUAGGCGUGGUGAUCUAAGUGGUGAAUAUAUAGAAGGUGAUUUUAUACUGAUUCAUCCCAUAACAUGGUACCUAUAUGUGGGGCUGUUUUAACCUGCUUAUUUUAGCGACAUGUUUCGAGGCAGAUGUACUCGUAAUCCUAAAACAAGAUCUCUAUGCACAUGGAGAAGGUCAUUUUAUUUUAAACAAUAUUAAUAACUUAAUUGCAGGAUUUCUAAGUGAUAGCGACUUAUGCAGAAUCAUAAGUGAAAUGAUGAACUAUAACAUGUGAUAUGCAGAAGCAGUAAAUAUGAUUGUCAUAAGUCAAGGUAUCUAAUGCACAAAUUUUGCAUGAUUUAAUGCGAGUAAGCAUAUCAAUCAUAAGGCAUGAUAUCUAAUGUGUCAUACAAAUCAAAAACAUGAUUUCUACAGCAACUCAUCAUAAUGUAAAACCUAAAACAUAGUUUCUACCCAAUUUACCCCCACAUAAUCAUAUAGUUACCCUAUCAUUUGUACUAGUUAUCCCAAUAUCUAUUUAAAAUGGAUUAUUACAACCCAUGAUUUAGUAAAUUACAUCAAUGAGAAGUAAACUUAUACUAUAAAAAGCUCGAAGCAUGCCCAAAAUAAACCUGGGAGUACCAGCCUUCAGAGUAGUCUCAAAUGCUCAGAAAUCGCAUAGCCAACAAAUGUCCAGGUGUGUCAGAGUUCCCUAAGGACCUCAAGGAUCCCAGAUAGUGCUCUCACCAAGACCUUUCUCAAAUAGAAACUAGAUAUGUGCAGUGGGGAAGAGCCAGCCCUGGUAUGCAAUAGUUCAGAGAGAUCUCAAGGAUUCCUAAGUAGUACACAUACCAGAGGAGUAUAACUUAAUAAUCUAAGAGUAAAGUGAGAAUGCUUGGCAUAGUUUGAAAGAUUUAGUGAAAACAAUAUAAAGAUAACUCUAAAAGUGAAAAGAUUUUUUUAAAAUAGAAAUUAGUUUUGGUGGUGAAAAAAAUAGUUUGAGAAUAGUACCAAAACACUUUUGAAAACAACAAACAACCAGUUGGUUAAAAACAUCUAGAAUAAAAAAAACUUAACAAACAGAUCUCACGUGAGGGUAAAGGGAUUGGGGAUACAUUGAAUUUACAAUUUUAAAUAGAACACAUGACAGGGCUCAGGGAGGCAUACAGUCAACAAAAUGCAUAGAAAAUUUAGAAGCUUAUAGAAUCAACAUGUUAGUCAUGAUGGUAGGUAAUAGAGACAUGUUGAAAGCAAUGAGACACUAGACAGAAUCAAACACACAACUAGAGUCAGUCGAAUUCCUUAAAGAUUAGGUAACUAACAUGAUUUCCUCUGGAAAGGAGAAUAGAUAAGGGUGAAUAGACAUGAUGGACAAAUAUCAAAUGGACAACUAUAGUUUGUAAAUGCUAAUUACAUAUUGAACAAAGCAGGAUCAUACAUGCUAAGUAAGGCAGUAAACAAGAACAUAAAUUGAAUCUGUAACUAAUGAGCUAGCACUGAAAUGAAACACAUAGAGUUUAUGUUUCAAAAUUUAAUUGAGACAUACCAGCCAAGUAAGAGAAAUGCAGAAUAUGAAAGAAACAGGUGCAAUUCCACUACCUAGAGUUGGCUUUCAGCUGGCUAGACCCGCAAUAGCACAUGUAGCAUAUGUAGCAAAGAAGGAGAGGAGUUUGAAUGUAUGUGCGUGUUAUGAACUGAUGUUCGUGUUUUAAAAAGUUAAAUAAGAGAAUUUAUAUAGUAGUUCAAGAGUAGAGCAAGUGAGAUAAAAGAAUCAACUUCAGUUAAUCAAGAGAAGAUCACAUAAUCAAUUACACGAAAAAUCAACAUAUUCCUUAAUUAAUGGUAAUUAACCAACGGUAAGGGCAGAAAUUUUUUUAAAAAAGUAAUUCAAAUCGGACUUAGGCAAAGAGUGAAUAACUAGGAAUCUAAUUGAGGAAAUAAUCGCGCAAGGAAUCAGUAUAUACUACAUGCAAUUUAAAUAAGGCAAAAAAGACUAACUAAAGUCAUAAACAAGGAGACAAUCAAUAAUCAUGCACAUGAAAUUCUUAACUGAGAAAGUCACUCAACAAUUCUGAAAGAAUAUUUCAAUCAUGAACAAAACAGGUUGAAUAGAACUUUAGGAACACAAAGAAAUUAGACAAAAAAUAAUUCAAAAACCCUAAUAUAUAUUAAUUAGGAUAAAAAUCUCAAAGCAAGGAAUUUGACUAAGGAAAAGCAUGUAAAUCAUAAUACAUAAUGAACCAAUAUGACUAGUAACUUGCAAGGCUCAGAAUCGAAGCAAAGCAUCAAACAAUUAGCGACUUAACAUAAACCAACUAGCGUUUAUGCAAUUUUAGCAUAAAUCAGUCAAGAACACUUAAGAACAAACAACUAAGCAUUCAAAAGUCAGAAAAAACUUUUGAGAAGACCACUUAGGGUAAACCCUAGUUUAGGACAAAUGAGAAAUCAAUUGAAAACCAGAAAACUUUCAAGGAAAACAUGUGAGAUAUAUUCGAUUCAUCUUAGAUCUAAUACAGAUCUGAGAAGAUCAGAGAUAACGAUUAGGGUUUUUUUAGAAAGCAUGAUAGAGAUGAGAACACAUGCCUAGAAAAUCAUGGAUUCAUAUCAAAAUAGGAGAGGUUUCUUACUCAUGCUCGAGCAAAUGGCCUGAAACAGGAAAAGAAAUCAAAGGUGCAAACCAGACAGCCUAGGUCCCUUGAGAUCUUCCCAAUGAUCUAAGGAACUGAUGAACCAUAAGUGGUAGAAGGCCAUUACAGGCUUGAGACGACAAAGAAACAUCAUAGAACAAAGUGAUAAGCCGGUAACGGCGCUUGGAUUAAGGUUCUGAUAGAGAGCAUUCGAGAGAGAGGGGAAAGGGUGACGACGGGAUAUGGUAGAAAUGAAUUAGGUUAGGAGGGCGAUCGUUAGGUUAAUUAUGGUAAGGACAAAUAUGGGCCAUUGAUCUCAAAGAUCAACGACCAGGAUUAGGGCAGGCUUGGGUCGAGUCUAGAUUAAUUGGGGUUGGCUUUGAUCGAUUUAGGUUUGGUCUUAGUGGGUUAGGGGAUGAAAUUGGGUGGGCUGAGUGCGCAGAGCUAAAUUAGUACAAAAGUCAAUAUCCCUGUCGGGUGGCAUCCCCGGUAGGUCUGAAGGAAAUACCUCUGGAAACUCACAAACAACAGGCAUAAAAUCCAUGGAAAGAACCUCAACACUAGAAUCACGAACAUACGCCAAAUAAGCUAAGCACCCUUUUCAAUCAUACGCGGAGCCUUUAUAUAAGAAACAACCCUACUGGCAUAAUGAGUGGGAGUCCAUCUCCACUCCAAAUGAGACAAAUCCGGUAAGGCUAAGGUCACAGUCUUUGAGUGACAGUUCAAUACAACAUAAUAAGGGGAUAACCAAUCCAUCCCCAAAAUAAUGUCAAAGUCUACCAUAUCAAGAAGUAAAAGAUCUACACAGGUCUCAGAGACCCUAAUAAUAACCACACACGAGCGAUAGACUAAAUCUAUAAUAAUAGAAUCACCCACCGGCGUAAACACAUAUACAGGCGCACUCAAAGAAUCCCGAGGCACAAUCAGAUAAGGGGAAAAAUAAGAUGACACAUAGGAAUAUGUAAACCCCGGAUCAAAUAGAAUUGAAACAUCUCUACUGCAAAUCGAAACUGUACCUAUGAUAACUUCAUCCGAGGUCUCAGCCUCAUGUCUAACUGGCUAAAUAUAACACCGGGGUUGGGCCCCACCACUUUGAACUAUAUCCCGAGGACGGCCUCCUGCUGGAUGGCCUGCACCUCUAGCUGCUUGACCUCCACAUCUGACGACCUGAUCUCCACCUAUAACACCUCAACCCUACCUCUAGCUGGCUGAUCGAGCGGUGAAACAUUCGGUGCUUGAACUAUGGAACGGAAACCCUGAUGCUGAGAGCCGCUCGGUGCUCGAGGGAAAAAUCUAGCAACAUGCCUCAUGUCGCCACAAGUAUAAUAAGCCGUCCACUGCUGGUACUGCUGACCUUGACGGCCUAAGUGACCACCCUGAAAACUCUGGAUUGAUGGUGCACUGAUAGGAGUUGGUGGUGCACUAUAGGGCAUCUGAUUAAAAUACUGCAUAUGAGUACCACGACCACUUGGAGCACCGUGAGAAGCCUAAAGUGAUGAAUGAAAUGGCCUGGGAGAAUGGCCCCUACCAAAAGAAUCCUUACCUCCAGAUGAGGCACCAUUAAACCUGCCAGAAUGAUGAGGCCUCUUGUAAUACCUACGACCACUCCCUUGUGAUAGAACCAUCUCAACUCCACUGGCCACAAUGGUUGUAUCAUGAAAAGAAAUCUCGCUCCAUGUCGCCUUAUCCAUCUGCAAUUGAACCGCCUUAGCGAGUCUCUCAAUGAACCUCCUCCCCAUCCCUCUCUCCGUGGGAAGUAUAAUAAGAGCAUGACGAGCCAAGGCAAUAAAUUGGGUAUCAGACUGAGUGACAGUCAUAAAAUCAUGUUGAAGACGCUCAAACUGCUUUGAUAGCUCUCAUUCUGAGUGAUAGGAAGAAACUUCUCCAAAAAUAGAUGAGAGAACUGAUCCCAAAUCGAAGCCGGUGACCCAGCUUGUAUGGCCAAACAAUAAUCACUCUACCAAGUUUUGGAGGAACCUGGCAGAUAAAAAGCAGCAAAGUCAGCCCUAUUGGUCUCCACUAUCUCUAUGUUCCGAAUAACCUCGUGACAGCUGUCCAAAAGGUCCUGGGGAUCCUAUGAAGAUGUACUGCCAUAGGUAGUAGUGAAAAGCUUGGUGAACCUAUCCAACCUCCAUAAAUCGUCAGUAGACAUAGUUUCUCCAUCACCAUUCUGAGCCACAAUACCCAACUGAACUACCCCAACUAGCUGAGCUGCUCGGGUUUGAAACUGAGGAGCCAUUUGCUCCGAAGUGCGACUAGUGGGAGUUUGUGCUCCUCCCCGGUCUGAGAGAUGGCUGGUGUUACGAGAAGUAAUCCUGCUUGAGUGAUACUCUCCAUAAGGUCCACUAGACGAACCAGAGCAUCCUAGAGUACCGGGGUGGCGAUGAAUCCUUCUGGUACCCGAGCUGGCCCUGCUGGAACGUUCUGGGCUGGGGCCUCCUCCUCAAAAUCCACCUGAGGCACCACCGCUUGUGCUGCUGCUCUGGGCCGAGUUCUGUCCCUACCUCGGCCUCUAUCAUAGACUCUGCCUCGUCCUCUGUCCCUUGUAGGAGCUACCACUAGGGGCUCAGGCUGUUGAUGAAGCACUUUUCUCGCCAUCUGCAAAAGAACAUAGUAGAAGUUCAAUUAGCAUUGAAAAUUCAAAUCGCACAACAAAAAAGAAUAGAUGUUAAGUUAUUCCUAAACUCUGUAGCCUCUGGGGGAUAAGCACAUAUGUAUCUGUACCAAUCCCUCAGACUCUACCUAGCUUGUUCGUGAAUUGUGAGUCCUAAGUAACCUAGAGCUUUGAUACCAACUUGUCAUGACCCGAAUUUCUCAUCAUCGGGAGUUAUGAUGGCGCCUACUCGUGAAAGAUAGGCAAGCUAACUAUUAAGGUUCUACACAUUAACAAUCAACCCCAACAAUUAUAGACAAUAAAUAUAGCGAAACAAAUGAAAAAGGGCGGAAGAGUUAUAACAAACCCAUAUAAUCCAAUACAUGUCUACCCAUAAAUUUGGUGUCACAACGUCACGAACAUCUAAGAAUUACUACAAACACUGGCCUGUAAAGAAAAGUACAACUGUUAUCUUAAUGAAAAGAGACAAUAGAAAGCUAAAACAGGGAAGGGAAACUUUAGGCUGGACACCAACAGAUAUACCUUGGUCUUCGUGGACUAAAUGCAGCUACCUCAGCUACUCACCGGGUCCAAUACCGAAAUCUGCACAAAAGAGUGUAGAUUGUAGCAUCAGUAAAACCGACCCCAAGUACUGAGUAAGUGUCAGGCCAAACCUCGGCAUAGUAGUGACAGGGCUAGGACACGGCAAUCAUAUAAAUAUGCACAGUUAAAUCAUAUACAAACAAAAUCAUAAUAACACGAAUCAACAUAAUAAGGUGGGAAUGGGACAUGCUGCGGAGAAUAUUAGAGUCUAACAAUAAACCAUUAAAGAAGCAUUAAUAAAGGAGCAAAAUAAAUAUAUUGUCUAUAUCAACAAGAAUAAUGAAAUGGUAACACAUGCACGAUAUCAUCCUUCGUGUUUUUACUCUCGUCUUCACCAUGUGAUCAAUAGACAUGGCACAACAUCACCCUUCAUGCAUUACCUCGCAUAAUCAUGGAACGACAUCUCCCUUAGUGCAUUAUUCCUCAAAAAUAUCGACAUGGUAUCACCCUUCAUGCAUCAACUGUCAAUCAUGGCACGGAAUCACCUUCGUACAUUAACACUCAUAAUAUCAGCACGACAUCACCCGUCGUGCAUUACACUCACUCACAAUAUCAUGUACAAAAUCACCAUUCGUGCUUUACACUUUUCCUUACCCAAACAAUAGAAGCAAUACUUCCUGGAAAUGGAAUCAACAAUAUCAACCAUAACAUCCCAGUAAGGGAAUCAACAAUCUCAACAAUAACAUAUCAAAUUAGACCACAACUCUCAUUCCCUCAAGAUAAGGUCAAGCCAAACACUUACCUCAAUUCCACGGACAAGAUUAAGCCUCAAAUACCAUUUUACCUCUCGGUUCCACUUCUAAUUCACUUGUAUCUAGUAACAACUUAUUUAAUAAUAUUAAUAAAUGCUAAAUAAACCAAUUCUAAUGCAUGAAAAUAGAUUUUCCAUUGUUUUCCCCAAAAAGUCAAAAAUCAAUCCCGGGUCCGCUUGAUCAAAACCUGAAGUUUGAACCAAAACCCCAUCACCCAUUCACUCGCGAACUAAAAUAUGUAAUUAAAUUUUGAAAUUGGACCUCAAAUUGAGGUCAAAAUCCUCAAAAUUUAAAAACUUAACUUCUAAAAAAAAAAACCAUAAUUUCCCAUGAAAACCCAUAUAUUUUAAAGUGAAAUCAUAUAAAAAAGAUGUUAUAGAUUGAAGAAAAUAAGUUAGAAAUCAUUUACCUAUGAUUUGGGGAAGAACUCUCUUCAAGAAAAUCGCUGUGGGAGUUUAGGUUUUUGAAAAGUUGGGAAAAUGAAAAAGAAUCCCGUCAAAAUUGCACUUAACAAGUCUCAGAUGUCGCAAUUGUGACCAAGGGUUCGCUGUUGUGAACCCUUUGAUAUCCUGUCAUCUUCGCAUUUGCGGCGAAGGGAGUUCGCAUUUCCCAGCCCAAGGUCACAAUUGCAAUGAGGGCCUGCCCAUGCUUUGUUCGCAAUUGCGACACUUUGGUCGUAUUUCCCAAGCCUGAUCACUUCGCAAAUGCCUAGCUUGAUCUCGCAAUUGUGAGAUCAUAGGCCUGGGCAAAAAUAGUAGAUGCCAAUUGCAAUUUUUCUAAGUCUAAUUCACUCCGCAGUCUAUCCAAAAUGCACCCGAGCUCCCGAGGCUCCAAACCAAACAUGCACGCAAGUCUAACAAUAUCAUACAGACUUACUCGUUCGAUCAAAUUAUCAAUAUAACAUCAACAACUACGAAUUUAACCUCAAAUUCGUGAAAUUCCUCAAGAACAUUGAAAUUUCUAUUUUCUCAACUAAAGACCUGAUUUAUACCAAAUCAACUCUCAUUCUUAUCAAACUUCACAUAUUCGACUUAAUUGUUAUUUAAAACCUGUACCGGACUGCGUAACCAACAUACAUGCGUGAUAACAUCAAAAACACACAUUAUUUCAUUUCAUAAAACUUUAUAUUUUUUCCAGCAAAUAAUUUUUUCUAAAAAAUCUUUUCUCAGACUAAGGGCCUUGGAAUUCGAUUUCGGGCAUACGCCUAAGUCCCAUAUUUUAUUACGGACCUUAUGGGACUGGCAAAUCACGAGCCUAGAUCCGCUUACCAAGAAUAUUGACCAAAGUUAACUUUAAUCAAUUUUAAAGGUCAAAAACAAUCUUUUUCUCAAAUUUCACAUAAAAACUUUUCGGAAACGCACACGGACUGUGCAUGCAAAUCGAGGUAUGACUAAAAUAGGUUUUCAAGGCCUCGGAACACAGUUUUAACUUCUAAAACAAGGGAUGACCUUUAGCGUCAUCACGCGAAUCCCACAGGGAACUAACGUACUAAUUAGAACUGCUAGUUUCACAAGAAUUCAAGUAAUCAACUUCCAAAAAUAUUGAAUAAUCAGUUGAGUGUUUACUAACUAAUACAAGAUGAUUAAAAAACUGUAAUUUUAUUUCUAAUAAAGUAAAUGUUGUGCGCAAUAUUAGAAAGAUCUAGGGUUACGGUUUCCCCUCUUAUUGGAAUCUUCUAUGCUACGUCUCCCAUAAAUUCGCUUAGAUACUCUCUACUGACCAUGAGAAUUUUAGGUGUCGUAAUUCUCUUCCAAGUAAAUACAAUAAUUUACUAAAUGUGUUCUUCUGAACUACACUAACUAGCACUACUUUACCGCUUACUAAGAUCGCACCAAGAUUUUGUUAAUCCGAAUCCCACCUUUAAACCAUCCGGUUUGAUCCUUCAAAUACGUUAUGAGUGAUGUUGUUCAACAACUACCUAAAUAUGUACCCUUUUCUAAAUAAUAUUCACUAAAUAGGCAUAUCCGACUGAAGGCACUUCAAUCAACCAUAACAGUCGCGUAGUUGAACAAGUAAAGAAAAUCCAAUGGCUAAUUUAUAUUAAAUGCAACAAAAAUUCAUCCUUCAAGAGGUUUCAUCAUACGCUGAGUAAGGAUUUUAGCUACUCAUAGUUAUUUUCACAACCACAAUAUAAGAAUUCAUUAUCAACAAUAGAACAAAUGGAAGAAGAAAGAUAAAAACUUUUCGAAUCUUACGUCUUGCUUCUUGCCUUCAAAUUCUUCUAAAAACCAAGAUAUCCUCUUUUUGGACGAGUCGGGCUUCAUAUAGGUCAAGGGAGUCGCCUCCGAAAUUAGCCCUGGAAUAUUUUGUUCGGAAGGACGUGCAUUGUCGUGCACCUGGGAAGAUGACCGCGCACUUUGGUCGAAAGAAUCUCAUUUUUCUUUUAAAGUGCCCUAACCUCCUUUGAUCCUCGAACGAAUUCCCAAUUUAUUCCACAAGCUUUUACUUGGCCUUCAACGCUUCAUAUUCAAACACUUCCUAAUUUCACCAACACGAAAUUGCUCCUCUAAAAAGGUACUCAAUAUGAGCAUUUUACUACCAUUUAACGCUCAAACAUCAUUAAAAUGCAAUAAUUUGGAGUGCAAAUAUUUGCCAAAAUACAAAGUUAUAGCCUACUAUCAAAUAGCAUCCAAAAACAUGUUAUUUAGCAUUUUUUAAAAUGGAAAAUGAUAUUGUAGCCGCUAUUAAACUAAUAGUCAAAAAAUAAAUAAUUUUUUGUAUAUAUAUAUAUACAAAAAUUUUAUAAAUUUUAUACAUUUUUCAGCUAUUGAACGUAAAUAGGGAAAUUUACAUAAUGCACUAUCUUUUAGUAGUAACUAGUCAUCUAUAGAUACUACUUGCUAUAUUACAGAUUAUAGAUACCUUUUAUGUUGUUAUAAGAUGUAUUUGAUGUAUUUAAACUAUUGUAUUCAUGAAUACAGUAGCAAAAAUAUUUGUGAAUCAGGGAAGUCCAGCUAAUCAGUUGUUAUAUUUGAGUGUAUUCGACUGUAUUCAUAGAGUGAAGCAUGGGAUUACAACUGGAUAAAUUAUUCGACUGUAUUUCACGGCGUGAAAUAUGAGAUUACACUAUUUUUAAAACGGAAAGUGAAUCAAUUAACAAAAUAGACUCCUAAUAUAACUCAACUAACUCAAUUAUAACACAUAAAAAUUGUAUUUUCAGCUAUAGAAAGUAUUCUCAACCGAAAAAUACCCCCAAAAUAUAGCAAUCUUCAGAGAAAUUAUAUAAUAAAUCUGAACACAUAAAUUAUAUUGAUUAAAAAAAAUAUGAAUACAUUCAUGGUAUAUAGCGAGACAGUGUAUACAAUAAAAUACAUAGAAUACAGCAGAAUAUAUUAAAAUCCAAUUAAAAAAGACAUUGAAUACAAUGAAAUACAUGGAUUACAACGAGAUAUAUUGAAUUAUAAUUAAAAAAAAGACAUUGAAUACAAUAAAAUACAUGAAAAUAUAUUAAUAGAAAAUUAAGUUGUUAAGCCCCAAACUCCAUCGUCUUUGUUCAAAAACAAAGACUAAUUUCCGGCGAAUCCGCCGUAGCAACGUUUGAAAGUCCUAUUUUUUUUUUUUCGCCAAAGCGACGGUAAGUCCCUUAUUCAUUGCCUUAACAACAUCCUUAUAAGAAAGAGUAUUUGGGUAAGCAAUAUUCUCUCGAAAUUAGGAACGUUAAUCUGUCCAAGAAAAUUCAUGACCACCAAAUGAAACACUAAAUUGUAGAAAACAGAAUAUGCAUAAAUACGUUCUGGUGGCAAAUCUUUGAAUUUAUUUUUUUCCUUUGUUUACUUGGAUUCAAAGACAAACAGCAAGGACUGUUGUGCCAAUACAAGAGAGUAACCAAAGAGAAAGGAACUCAAUGGGAAGAUCCCUGAAAUUCCAUGGUUACCUACCUCAAAGCACCCAAUUGUUGCAACCAAAUCUAGAAUUUUCGAAAUUGAUUCAUUGCUUAACGAUGCUAAAGACUCAUAAUUAAGUUUUGAUGGAUUGCGAAUGAAUUUUUGCCUUGGGAAGACUCGAUCAAGAAACCUGAGAUACCCAGAAAUUUCAUGAUCGAAAUCAGCAUCUCUGAAUUGGCUUUGCACAAAUCCGGUGGAAAGUGGAGGAGAUUAGAAAUUUUAAUGGGAUGGGGUAAGAAAUGAGAUAUAUCAAACUAGAGAGAGAAAGAAAAUAGUGUAGCUGAUUAACGUGUUUAGUGGCUUAGAGUUAGGAGGUAACCAAAAUUAAAUAUUUUGUUAUAAACCUUAAAAGAAUUCUAUAUAAUAUAAUUUUUUUAAAUAGUAUUUAUUUAAAAGAAAUAAAGUGUUAACAUUUUCUAUAGACAAUAAAAAUUUCAUGUAAAUAGCUUCUAAUAUGGACUAAAUGAUAAUACCCAUUUUGAAUUGCCAUACUUGUUUAUCAACGGGCAGCAGCGUUAUAUUGCCAUACUUGUUAGGAAAACAGAACAUGCUGAAUUUUGGCUUUGAAAAUUGCCAUACUUGUUUAAGGAAAAUAAAAAAGAAAAAUUGCAAUUUCAUUAAUAGAUUUUGUUCUAUUCAGUUAUGCAUUGACAAAGAAUAAAUUAGAGAUGAACAAAUGAUGUAAAAUACCAAAAAAUAAUUAGUUUGCUUUGUCGAAUCCCAUCUGUUUGCUUUGAUUACAUUUUCUUUAAUAGUUCAAAAGAUAAAAUCUAAAUUUCCAAUCAUGAAUUAAUAAAAAUUCAAAAUUCUCUGAUGAAUAGUUGAAAUGAAGAAAAUUAAGUAAUGAAUAUAACAGGCUAUUUAUGCAAAGACCAAUUGAAAUCUAGCACAAAGACCCACUUCAUAAAUAGAAUAGAAACAUUUAAAAACUAGCCAUUCAACCACAAAAAACACAAGCAUUAUCGGCAUUUGACGCAUGCCAUAGUGCCGAAGGUGCAGCAGAACCAAACACAAUGGGUUUUGAGAAGAGAUCUCUACAUUCUUAAAUGUUUCACUAAGUUUCAAACAUCAUAACAAUGUUCUAGAGUUUCACACUUUAAUACAGUGUGCUAUAGGUUUACAUGUAAAAUUUCAAAAUUUUGUCAUACUAUACUGAAAAUUUUCGUAUUUAAGAGUAUUUUUAUUUAAAAUUUAUUUUUGUGAGGAGUGGAAAAAUUUUGGUUAGUUUUGGGACUUAUGCCAAAUAGGGUGAAAAGUGGGGAGAAAUUAAAAAAUAUCCAAAUUUACAAGUGGUUAUUCGAAAAUAGUCACAAUUUUAAAAGUAAUAAAAAUUUAGCCAUUUUUUAUGUAAAGAUAAAUUUGAACGAAAACACUUAUCAAAAUUCGAAAAAUACUUUAGCAUAAUAUUCUGGAGUUCUAGCAUAAGUAGACCGGAACUCUAGUAUAUUAUAAUGGAGUUCCAGCAUAAGUAUACUGAAACUCCAUCAUAGUAUACUGGAGUUCCAGUAUAAUAUACCAAUACAACAUAAUAUGAUAGAAGUUCAUACACAUGUGCUUCAAUCUCCAGUAUAUUAUGCUGGAACUUUCCACGUGUUGGAAUUCCAAUAUAAUAUGCUAGAAGUUCAUACACAAGUGCACCAAUUUCUUGUAUAUUAUGCUGGAUUGGUCCCUGUUAUAGCAAAAUAGUGGCUAUUUUUCAACCGCUGCAAAUGUUGACUAUUUUUGAAGGAAUUUUUAUCUCCUAUAGCAAAUGUUAACACCUUAUUUAUUUUAAAUAAAUAUUAUUUAAAAAUAUUGUAUUCUAUGGAUAUCUUUUAAGGUUUAUAGCAAAAUAUUUAAUUUUGGCGAUCUCCUAGCCCUAAGCCACUAAAUACGCCAAUCCAAUCAGUUACAAUAUUUUCUUUCUCUCUCUUUCCCAUCCCAUUUAAAUUUCAUUCUCUCCAUCUUAGUUCGGUUGCGAUUCUCUUCCUCUUUCUCUUGAACUACAUCGCCAGCACUCAUCGAUCUCAACCGGAUUCUUCGAUGUAUCUUCACCGUUCAGUAAUUCCUAUAGGAUGAGAUGGCUGAGAAAGGGAUUAAACGAAAUGUUGUAAUAUAUACUACUCUGAUACGCGAGUUUUGCAGUGAGGAUAAAAUAGUGGAAGAUGAAAGGCUCUUCCGGCAUCAGCCAUCUUUGCCAUAGCCAUCCAUCAGAGUAUUAUAAGUGUAAAGAUUAGGCUUAACUCCAACCUCCCGCAUUUUCAUGGACAUGCUUUCAGCAUGAUGAAUCAUGGAAUUCUUCCGAUUAUUAUUAGUUUUGGUAUCUUGAUCGAUAUGCUCUGCAAAGUGGGUAAAGUGAUAGCAGCGAGGAAUUUCUUUGCAUCUAUGGUGAAGUUUGGGGUACUUCCCAAUUUAUUUAUCUAAAGAAAUAUGCAGAUGCUCAUUAUGAGUUUGUAAUAUUUCAAAUACAAGACUCAUCCCUCCUUAUCUAAAAUAUUUCAUUAUUUAUUAUUAUCAUUAUUAUUAUUAUUAUUAUUAUUAUUAUUUUACUGUUCAAACUCAUGCUCUAUGAUUUUUUUCCAUUAUAAUUCAAUGCAUGUAUUUUAUGUAUUUUAUUGUAUUCAAUAUCUUUAUUUUUCAUUGUAUUUCAAUGUAUCCCGCUGUAUUAUAUGUAUUUCAUUGUAUUCACUGUCUCGCUAUAUGCAAUCAAUGUAUUCAUAAGUUUUUUUAAUUAAUAUAAUUUAUGUAUUCAGAUGUAUUAUAAUUUUUCUAAAGAUUUCUAUGUUUUUGAGGUAUUUUUCGGCUAAGAAUAUUUUUUAUAAUUGAAAAUACAAAUUUUAUGCGUUAUAAUUGAUUUUGUUGAGUUAUAUUAGGAGUCUUUAUGUUAAUUGAUUCAUUUUCCCCUUUAAAAACAGUGCAAUCCCCUAUUUCACACCGUGAAUAUAAUCGAAUGCAAUAAUCUGUCCAGCUAUAAUCACAUGUUUUAUUCCAUGAAUACAGUAGAAUACACUCGAAUACAAUAACUGAUUAGUUGGACUUUCCUAAUUUACGCAUAUUUUUGCUACUGUAUUCGUAUAUACAAUAACUUAAAUAUAUAAAAUGCAUUUUAUAACCAAAUAAAAAAUAUUUAUAAUUCAUAAUAUAGUAAAUGAUAUGUAUAAAUAACUAAUUAUUAUUAAAAAAUAAUAUUUUAUAAAAAUUACCACUAAAAAAUAAUACUUUAUGAAAAUUUAACAUUUUUAAAUAACAAGUCCUGGCUAGCGCUCGCUAUUUUUAGCGAAAAGUGACUAUUAGCCCAUUAAAAAAAUUCGGAUCUCAUUCAAAAGUCGACUCUCUGACCCAGAAGUAGACAGAGUCAUCUUCUUCGUUAGCACAUCUUCUUCUCGAUACAACGCACGAGAGAGCGAAGAGAAUAAAGCCUUCUAAAGCAAUCGAAAUGGUAAGAAUCAAAUCCAAUUCCCUCUCCUUAAUUUCAUUCCAUAAUCAAUUUUAUAUGAGUUUUUGAUUUUCAUUUUUUCGCAAAUAUUACAGGUUUGCGUAGCGUGUUUAAUACCGCUGUUCCUCGUCCCGAUCGUUAAUUUAUUACCUGUUAUCUUCCAUAUUCUCAUGGUAAGAUCCUUAAAUACUAAAUUAACCCGUUAAUUUUGAUGCUUACAACGCUAAUUUUUCGUUUAUUUUUUUGUGUGGAUUUUUUAGUCAAAGAUUUAUAGAAUGUUUGGGAAGGAGUAUCAGAGACCGGAAAGAGCACCUCCUGCUUGUCCUUUUAAUCCAUCAGCUGCUAAACCGAACAAUUCUGUAAGUCGUUCAAUUAUAAUGGCGUGACCUUUUGUUUUACGUGUUGACUUGCUUGAAAAACUUGUAAGCCACCAAAACCAAUAAUUCUUCAAGUCAUUUGAUUAUAAAGGCGUGAUCUUUUGUUUAGACGCGUUGACUUGGCUGAAAAAUUUAUUCUUGUUGGGAAAUAUAGGAGCUGGAUCUUGUGUCGUGGCCUAGGUCCAUUGACUGCUUUGGCGUAAACAUAAGUCUUUUGGGACUCAUGGUCUUGUCCCUAAUUUGUCACGACCCAAACUAGGGGGCAGUGGCUUAUUUCCUAGAGUGUUUGAUUGAAAUUCAGUGGUGCACAUGUGUGUAUACGGAAUAGACAUACAUAUCUCAAUAAGCGGAAUGGAAAACUAUUGGGAUUGAUGCUAGUUGAUUGAUAUAAUAUGUAUGUGUGUGUUUUGGGUAGUUGGAUAUAUCUGUUGUUUGGGUAAUUCAGUGAACAGGUUGUUUGGAAUUUGGAUAUAGGAAAUGCAAAAACCCUUUAGCUCUCUUCAGGAAAGAGUUGUUUUUGUUGAAAUUAGUAACCUCCUUGUGCCUGUAAUACCCUUUUAUUAAGGGAAACAUCAGAAUUUGGUACAAAGGAAAAUGUUGUCCAUGGAAAAUAUUUUCUUGAAACAUGUUUCUUAAGUAGUACUUAGUAUUUUAACUUAUUUUUCAGUGUUCUGUUGGUGCGUAAAGUUGCCCUGCCCUCAGUUAGCCUUACGGUCCAUCAUGGAAAAUUCCUAUGGAAACAGGAAAUCUGCCAUCCAAAGUAGUAAGUGCAAGGUAAGUUUGGUCAUUUACCAUCCCCUCGGUUCUAUCCAUUUCACCUACUUUCUGGCGAACUAGAAAAUAGAUCAGAAGCUUGGAAAAUUCUAUAUCUGGAAAAUGUCUUCCCCACUCUUCCAAGGGAAGUUACUUUCCAGAAAUUAGAGGAGAAUUCCUUCUUAAGCAAAAUUUUUUUCAGAGAAAAAUUGGAAUAUGUUUUGCUUAUACCAAACCGACCUGACUGUCUGAAUACCCGAACAGUAUUCGUGAUAAUAAUUGGUACGAAAAUGGAUAUGGAUCUAACUCAACCCAUUAGCUAGCCCAUGAGGUGAGGAUUUUCUAAGACCGUAUAAAGAGACAAGUCACCCUUAACCCGCCUGUGUGGGAACUCAACAAUAACAUUUAGAAAAUGUUUUUUGAAGAUGAAUGGCCCCAUCCAAGAGGGGUUGCUCUGAUGGUAUGCAAUCCCCACUUCCAACCGAGAGGUUGUGAGUUCGAGUCUCCCCAAGAGCAAGGUAGGGAGUUCUUGGAGGGAAGGAUGCCGGGGAUCUAUUUGGAAACAGCCUCUCUACCCAAGGGUAGGGGUAAGGUCUGCGUACACACUACCCUCCACAGACCCCAUUUUGGCGUGCAUGCUCUUUGGAAUUUCGAGAAAAUAGGAACAAAACAUAUUUUUGAAUGUCGGGUCUGUGUAGUCUUGAGGCAAGCUGGAACGUGCAAGUAACGAUCUGCUUCAAACAAAUGCAGCUUUCGAUUGCCAAAAGUCUAGCCCUAUUUGGAGGGAAGGAUGCCGGGGGUCUACUUGGAAACAGCCUCUCUACCCAAUGGUAGGGUUAAGGUCUGCGUACACAAUACCCUCUCCAGACCCCACUAAGUGGGAUUAUGCUGGGUUGUUGUUGUUGUUGUUGUUGAAUGGCCCCAACCUGAUAAAUCUUUGAGGAUAUUCAACAAAUGAUGCUAGGACUCUGGGUAUUUAGGUGAACAUGGUCUAUACUUGUUUCUAGAUGUUCAUGAUGACGAGUACCAUGAAACCAAAGAACAAAGUUGAAUGAAAGGUUUCACAAUGAGCAAAGCACCCAAAGAACUUAACAUCAACCUUGGACUUUGUUUUCAGUUGGGAUUCUCGAGUAUAGUUUUCGCUUAAUUUCUCUAAUUUUAAUGAUAGACAAAUAGGAAGAAAUGUGCUUGGUACUUGGGAAGGAAAUUUGGGUCGUCGUUCUUAUCCUAUCAAUUUUAUCUAGUUAGCUGAAAACUGAAUAGUUCCUAUAGAAAAAUUUCCUGUCCGUGUGAGGUUCAUAAUGGAAGGGAACACUUUCUCCAUUGAUCUACCAUUUGAGUUCAAGCUUUUUGUAGAGUACUUGGAAAUUUGUAUGAUGAGGUUCAAGCGUUUGGUUAUUCCGUUAAUAUGAAAUUUAGUUUUAGAUAUGACUCUCAAAGCAACUGAAAUAUUUCUGCGAGGAGAGAGUAUAAAAUUAUUUUGUUAAUAGAACACUUGCAAAAGUCUUGUAGUUUGUUUUACGUCGCCCUAAGACUGUUGGGACACAUAAUGCUUGCAGAAAUGUUUACGGGUAAAUAACCAAAUUAAAAUGGAGAAAUAAGGAAACCGAGAUAUAAGAAAAAACCUAGUCCCGAGAGGGUCAAAAUAAUAUUACUAUAUUAAGAUUAUACUCUGUACUCAAGUAUCACAAAGUCCUCUAGACUCGAAAGAAAUUCCCACUUUUGAAGUGUUUAUACUAAAAACCACUUAAAACUCUCUUUGUUUUUCCUCACAAUUACUAUUUUUUUCUAAAAAUGGGAUAAUACAAACGAGAGAGAAGUUCCCUUAUUUAUAGGAGUAGAAUAUCCAUGAUGAUGUCAUUGAUGACAUCGAUGGGAAAUACAAAUGCAAUUGUGAAAUCAUUUAAUGGUCGGUUGGCCAAAUUCAAACUUACUGAAGAUUUUAUUGUUUGCUUUGACAUUCUUGUAAAAAAGAAGAGUUUCAUCCUUUAUCAAAGGCCAAUGGGGUCGGAACUCACAAACCCCCCUUCCAAACCCAUGCACCUAACUGAGGUGUAUUUGAUUUCUCAGAUAGAGAAAGAGCUCAUGCAGACAAGUCUAUUUGUAUUACUCGGAGUCAGUGUUUGGAAAAGCGCGUGCUUUGUCGCUUAAAGCGCGCAGCGACGCGAAGCGGCAGAGCAUCGCUUUUCUGUGCCUAAGGCGACGCGAACAGUUGAAGCGCACACUUCAGAGGAAAAAUCGACGAGGCGAGCGAAGCGACAAAUCGAUCGCUUUUGUUCAAAAACCGCAGCUGGGACUUAAAAAAAAGAAAAAGAUUGGGUCUAUUUUUAAAUUUUAAAAAACAAACCCCUAACCUCGCUUCUGUAGUUGCUUGACAAAACAAGAACCCCUUCUCUCUUCUUCAUCGAGAAAUCUAGGGUUUCCAGGUAAGUUUCUUCGUUUCCUUUCUUCUUCUCAUUUUUUCUUUCUUCUUCUUGUUCCCGUCCAGAUUCUGCUCUUUUUUUCUUUCUUUUUCCUUUUUUCUUCCCUCUUCUUCUUCUCUUCUCUUUUCACCUUUUCUCCUCCCGUGUCUGCAGCUAGGGCAGGCGUUGGUUUUCUUUUUUCCCUCCCUUUUAUUCUUCUUAAUUUUAAUAUGUAUUUUAAUUUAUAAAAUUACUUAUUAUAUAUAUGUUUUAUAUCUUUCAGUUUAUAUGUUUUUUUAAUGUGUAUUUCAGUUUAUAAAAUUAAUUAUUUUAUAUAUGUUAUAUUUUCAGUUUAUUUGAUUAAUUUUAUAUGUAUUUCAGUUUAGAAAAUUAAUUAAUAUAAAUAAAAUAAAAUAUAACAUAUAUAUAUAUAUGUUAUAUAUUAGAUUAUUUGAUUUUUUAUAAUGUGUAUUUCAAUUUAUAAAUCAAUUAUUAUAUAUAUGUUAUAUUUUCAGUUUGAUUAAUUUUAUAUGUAUUUCAGAAAAUUAAUUGUUAUAUAUAUGUGUGUGUGUGUUAGUUUAUUUGAUUUUCGAUUUAUAAAUUAAUUAUUAUAUAUAUUAUAUGUAUUUUCAUAAUUGCGCUUCACUUCAAUGAAGCUUUGCGCUUCAUUUUUUAAGCGAGGCGAGCCCCAACCGUUUUUUGCACUUCGCGCUCUCAAAAACACUGCUCGAAGUUGUCUCUCAGGAUCACCUUGGCUAACAUAUUCUCAGGAUAUUUGCUCGUGUGAAUCUUUUUGAAAUUCGUCUUUGACUUGCUCAUUAAUCCAAUGAUAUCUCUGGUUGAUGUGUUUUAUUCUUGUACGAUACAUAGAGUUUUUACUAAGUGUAUUGCACUUUGAUUAUCACAAUAGAUAGUAUACUCUUUCUGAUUGCGUGGGAGAUUUAUGGGUCAAGCCUCCAGACUCAAGCGCACUCUUUCUUUUGACAAGGUCAAACAACAACAACAACAACUACCCAGUAUACUCCCACCAGGUGGGGUCUGGGGAGGGUAAUNNNNNNNNNNNNNNNNNNNNNNNNNNNNNNNNNNNNNNNNNNNNNNNNNNNNNNNNNNNNNNNNNNNNNNNNNNNNNNNNNNNNNNNNNNNNNNNNNNNACCCGAAAGGGCAGAGAGGCUGUUUCCAAUCGACCCUCGGCGCAUAGGAUAAAAGGAAAAACAGCAGUAAAACAAAAACAAAGACAAAACAAAACAAAAACAAAAACAAUAGAGCAUUACUAACUCCCGCAGAAAUUGCGUAAAUAAUUAUCUAAACAUAAGAAAUAUAAAUACAAUCGCAUGCAAUAAUAUCAUACAGUAACUACCAUAACUAACAGCCAUAGGGGGGACAUAAGCUAAGCUAAA
rnacentral:lncRNA from 1 species